rnacentral:lncRNA from 1 species
UGUCUCAGUGUUUGUUUCCCAGGCAACCUGAUGUAAGAAGUGAUGAAAGUCAAACAAACAACCGUAAAUCUGUACAAUGAAACGUAUGACAGGAAAGCAACAGUGCCACUGAGCGCAGUAAGAGCAUUCAACCCAGACCUGAUGGGUUGUGAAGAUGCAAAGAGAAGGGUCAGGGCAUUACCUCCUCAGUGGGAGAAUGCAAGACCCAGGUGACCCCAGAAGCAGCUGACUUGCUCACAGCCUGGUGACGCCAGUGGUGACAUCCAUGACUGCAACAGCACUUUAAGCAGAGACUAUGAAGGAGGUCGCUCCUGAAGGCCACCCACACUGGAGCGUUGAAAGAAUUUCCCUUCCGUACCAAAUAAGCCCAGCGGGAAAGAAACAGGAUCCUGUGCUCGGUGUGCAGCCCUGGCCUUUCUGACAAGUAGGAAGAAAGUGAAAUACCAGCGGAGUGUGUUUCCACCAACUGGCUACAUACAAACAUUUCUGCUCAAGAACAAAGCUACACCCCUCCCGAAGUCUGCUUGUGCCCGUUACUUUGUUCAACUGCAAUUUGUUCUUGAGAAAAUAUUAUCCCUGUAAUUCUAUCUAGUGGGUGGAUCCUUCAACUUUCUGUCUUCUAGAUGCUGGUUGUUAGCUGAACUGUCUGCCUUUCUAGAAUAUUUUUUGUAAUCAUUUCAUGGGUCAGAAAAAAGUAACUGUUUCUUAUUUGUACCGUUUUUCUGUUGUUCAUUGCCUCUCAG